GAUGAACGCUGGCGGCGUGCUUAACACAUGCAAGUCGAACGAAGCAUUUAAGACAGAUUACUUCGGUUUGAAGUCUUUUAUGACUGAGUGGCGGACGGGUGAGUAACGCGUGGGUAACCUGCCUCAUACAGGGGGAUAGCAGCUGGAAACGGCUGGUAAUACCGCAUAAGCGCACAGUACCACAUGGUACAGUGUGAAAAACUCCGGUGGUAUGAGAUGGACCCGCGUCUGAUUAGCUUGUUGGCGGGGUAACGGCCCACCAAGGCGACGAUCAGUAGCCGAGCUGAGAGGGUGACCGGCCACAUUGGGACUGAGACACGGCCCAGACUCCUACGGGAGGCAGCAGUAGGGAAUAUUGCACAAUGGAGGAAACUCUGAUGCAGCGGCGCCGCGUGAGUGAAGAAGUAGUUCGCUAUGUAAAGCUCUAUCAGCAGGGAAGAUAGUGACGGUACCUGACUAAGAAGCUCCGGCUAAAUACGUG
rnacentral:rRNA from 1 species